rnacentral:rRNA from 1 species
UACAGAGGUCCCGAGCGUUGUUCGGAUUCACUGGGCGUAAAGGGUGCGUGGGUGGCCUGACAAGUUUGAUGUGAAAGCUCAGGGCUUAACCCUGAAAUGGCAUUGAAUACUGUCGGGCUGGAGGUUUGGAGGGGGGACUGGAAUUCUUGGUGUAGCAGCGAAAUGCGUAGAUAUCAAGAGGAACACCAGUGGCGAAGGCGAGUCCCUGGACAACACCUGACACUGAGGCACGAAAGCUAGGGGAGCAAACAGG